ACGACGACUCUAACCACACGUGUGCAGUCCGUUUCCGCGGGCGACGUCACCGAUCUGCUGGAACAUCGCCCCCGGGUGAACCAGCAGCUGAAUUUCACCCCGAGAUUCGGUCCACAGAUUAUGUGGUGACGGUCAGUCUCCGGACCCUUGCGGGCCGCGGGCUGAUGAAGAUAUAACCGGUCGAGCAUCGGUCAGAUGCCCGAGAAACGUUCCGUAGGUGAACCUGCGGAAGGAUCAUUAUCGAGUUUGG
rnacentral:rRNA from 1 species